AUGAGUUCUCCCUGAGACUUUAAGUCUCCUGAAGGAACGUUGAAGACGACGACGUUGAUAGGCCGGGUGUGUAAGCGCAGCGAUGCGUUGAGCUAACCGGUACUAAUGAACCGUGAGGCUUAACCUUACAACGCCGAAGGUGUUU
rnacentral:rRNA from 2 species